rnacentral:rRNA from 1 species
AUUGAACGCUGGCGGCAGGCCUAACACAUGCGAGUCGAGCGGAUGAAGGGAGCUUGCUCCUGGAUUCAGCGGCGGACGGGUGAGUAAUGCCUAGGAAUCUGCCUGGUAGUGGGGGAUAACGUCCGGAAACGGGCGCUAAUACCGCAUACGUCCUGAGGGAGAAAGUGGGGGAUCUUCGGACCUCACGCUAUCAGAUGAGCCUAGGUCGGAUUAGCUAGUUGGUGGGGUAAAGGCCUACCAAGGCGACGAUCCGUAACUGGUCUGAGAGGAUGAUCAGUCACACUGGAACAGAGACACGGUCCAGACUCCUACGGGAGGCAGCAGUGGGGAAUAUUGGACAAUGGGCGAAAGCCUGAUCCAGCCAUGCCGCGUGUGUGAAGAAGGUCUUCGGAUUGUAAAGCACUUUAAGUUGGGAGGAAGGGCAGUAAGUUAAUACCUUGCUGUUUUGACGUUACCAACAGAAUAAGCACCGGCUAACUUCGUG